AUUGAACGCUGGCGGCAGGCCUAACACAUGCAAGUCGAACGAGUGGCGGACGGGUGAGUAAUGUCUGGGAAACUGCCUGAUGGAGGGGGAUAACUACUGGAAACGGUAGCUAAUACCGCAUACCAUCAGAUGUGCCCAGAUGGGAUUAGCUGGUUGGUGGGGUAACGGCUCACCAAGGCGACGAUCCCUAGCUGGUCUGAGAGGAUGACCGGCCACACUGGAACUGAGAGACGGUCCAGAGUCCUACGGGAGGCAGCAGUGGGGAAUAUUGCACAAUGGGGGAAAGCCUGAUGCAGCCAUGCCGCGUGUCUGAAGAAGGCCUUCGGAUUGUAAAGUACUUUCAGCGGGGAGGCGUUAGGAGCAGAAGAAGCACCGGCUAACUCCGUGCCAGCAGCCGCGGUAAUAC
rnacentral:rRNA from 1 species